rnacentral:rRNA from 1 species
UACAGAGGGGGCAAGCGUUGUCCGGACUUACUGGGCGUAAAGCGUGCGCAGGCGGUGAUGUAAGACAGGUGUGAAAUCCCCGGGCUUAACCUGGGAACUGCAUUUGUGACUGCAUCGCUGGAGUGCGGCAGAGGGGGAUGGAAUUCCGCGUGUAGCAGUGAAAUGCGUAGAUAUGCGGAGGAACACCGAUGGCGAAGGCAAUCCCCUGGGCCUGCACUGACGCUCAUGCACGAAAGCGUGGGGAGCAAACAGG